rnacentral:lncRNA from 10 species
CGGGUGGGUCAAGGGCAGAGUAACCAAGAGAUCUCAGCAAGCAUGAGGGAGAUUCAAGGAGCUGGCAUUGUGUGACUGGGGACAGAAAAGCCCUCAUGCAGGCAGGCGGGUCACAAUUGUUCCCUUCAGAUUUCUGAGGGGCUGCCUUGGUGGGAGAGGGGGUAGUUCAGUUCUGUGGGGCUCCAGGGGGCAAAAGGCAUGAUAAAUGAGUAGAAGUCAUGGAGAGGUGGAGCUUGCCUCCAGAGACAGAAUGCUAAGAAGGAUGCUGCUGCACAGUGGGGACUGAGCCAACUCACUGUUCAACAAAUAAGCAUUGGAGGGUCUCUAGUUCCAUAGAAAGAAGGCAAAUGAAGAGGACAGAAGAAGGAGAGAGACCUUCCCACCCCAUCAGCCCUAUGCUGCAGAGAGGGAUCCCACAUCUACUUCUCUUGCAGAAACCAACUGGUGGAAGUGACCUUCUCAUGGAGUGUCCUUCACAAUCCUGGUGGAAGUCACAGGCCUGCCCAAGCUGGAGGACUGUCCCAUUCCAACAAGUG